GCUGGGUGCAGUGGCGCACACUUGUAAUCCCAGUGGCUUGGGAGGCUGAGGCAGGAGGACUGAGGUUUAAAGCCAGCCUCAGCAAUGGUGAGGCACCAAGCAACUCAGUGAGACCCUGUCUCUA
rnacentral:sRNA from 1 species